rnacentral:rRNA from 1 species
AACGAACGCUGGCGGCAUGCCUAACACAUGCAAGUCGAACGAGACCUUCGGGUCUAGUGGCGCACGGGUGCGUAACGCGUGGGAAUCUGCCCUCAGGUACGGAAUAACUCAGGGAAACUUGAGCUAAUACCGUAUAAUGACUUCGGUCCAAAGAUUUAUCGCCUGGGGAUGAGCCCGCGUCGGAUUAGCUAGUUGGUGAGGUAAAAGCUCACCAAGGCGACGAUCCGUAGCUGGUCUGAGAGGAUGAUUAGCCACACUGGGACUGAGACACGGCCCAGACUCCUACGGGAGGCAGCAGUGGGGAAUAUUGGACAAUGGGCGCAAGCCUGAUCCAGCAAUGCCGCGUGAGUGAUGAAGGCCUUAGGGUUGUAAAGCUCUUUUACCCGGGAUGAUAAUGACAGUACCGGGAGAAUAAGCCCCGGCUAACUCCGUGCCAGCAGCCGCGGUAAUACGGAGGGGCUAGCGUUGUUCGGAAUUACUGGGCGUAAAGCGCACGUA